GCUUGUCCUCACAUCAGUUGCUGCGUUUGCUCUCAUAGCGCACGUGCACCCGGGCACGACACGCAGGCCGGGGGAGUACACUGCCACCGGACAGCCAUUUUAACAGAGAACCUUGUUGGAUGGGAUAGCCUGAAGCCCUUCAGCAGGCAACGGCUGGUGAGAGAGGAAUCACUUUCUGCAGCAAUGAAUGAUGCCAUAAACUCAUGAAGCAUAAGCAGUAUCAGAGCAAGACUGCAGUGGAUGAAACCAUAGUACGAGAGCUAACAUGAUAGACCUGAGAGCAGAAGAGCCUGACCUCAUUCAGCCAGUUGCCCUUAGGCUCUUCCCGCUUGGCUGCUGCCUGCCCCUGCAGUGCUUAAACCCCUUUCUCCUGCAGCAGGACAGGUGGCCAUCAAUAAAACCUGGUGUUUGUGUGUGCUCUUGGAAGUGAGUCUGGAAAAAAUGUAUAAAUCAAAAACAUGUGUCCAUUUAUCAUGUACAUUCUAAAGAAAUGUUUUACUUAAUGUCAUAUGAAAAAGACAAACCUUCUGGAGGUGGUUAAUUGUUCAGGGAUGCUUAGGUACGUUUAGGCAGA